UAGGUGGCAAGCGUUAUCCGGAUUUAUUGGGUGUAAAGGGCGUGUAGGCGGGAGCGCAAGUCAGAUGUGAAAACUCAGGGCUCAACCCUGAGCCUGCAUUUGAAACUGUGUUUCUUGAGUGCUGGAGGGGCAAUCGGAAUUCCGUGUGUAGCGGUGAAAUGCGUAGAUAUACGGAGGAACACCAGUGGCGAAGGCGGAUUGCUGGACAGUAACUGACGCUGAGGCGCGAAAGCGUGGGGAGCAAA
rnacentral:rRNA from 1 species